UACAGAGGGUGCAAGCGUUAAUCGGAAUUACUGGGCGUAAAGCGUGCGCAGGCGGUUGUGCAAGACCGAUGUGAAAUCCCCGGGCUUAACCUGGGAAUGGCAUUGGUGACUGCACGGCUAGAGUGUGUCAGAGGGGGGUAGAAUUCCACGUGUAGCAGUGAAAUGCGUAGAGAUGUGGAGGAAUACCGAUGGCGAAGGCAGCCCCCUGGGAUAACACUGACGCUCAUGCACGAAAGCGUAGGGAGCAAACAGG
rnacentral:rRNA from 1 species